UCCUCCAAGUGGCACCCUAUUCCCUCCAAGUGGCACCCUAUUCCCUCCAAGUGGCACCCUAUUCCCUCCAAGUGGCACCCUAUUCCCUCCAAGUGGCACCCUAUUCCCUCCAAGUGGCACCCUCAACAGUAGUGUACUUUGGGGACACAAGCCUAGUCUCUCCUCUUUUCAGUGUCUCUGUCCUCGAUUGAGCCCAAGCACAAAUGUGACAGAAGUUGGAACGAAAUCGAACAUGAUGAAUGUGGAAAAACCCUGUUUUUGAGGAGCAGAAUCCUGUUGAAGAGCAGGAGGAUUUCAGGGCGUCUCUAUGAAAUCAGAGUGCACCCUAUUCAGGGCCUUCAUUAUAGCAACUUGUCACAGUCCUCUGGUCGGCGUGUGUGAGGGAAGGACUUUGGUCUGUUGUGGCCAAACCACCCUCUCUGCAUCUCCUCAGACUCCGUCCUGCCGGGGAUCUGCAAAGAUCUGAUUGGUCAGACGGUAGGGCGGCUGCGCGACUGUCAUAGCCACGAGGAGAGCAUGGCAGACAAGCCGACCUCUGACCUCUGCUGCGUGUACACGGCCGUGACGACCAUCUCCGACCUGUAUGACGGCCUGGACGUUGACAGUCAGGAGAACAGGCUGUGACUCUGCGAUCUCAUCCAUGGUGAACGAGGCCCAGUGUCCCACUCGUCCAUGGUGAACGAGGCCCAGUGUCCCACUCGUCCAUGGUGAACAAGUGCUCAGUGUCUGGACUCGGCCCUGCAGGUCAUCAGCUACCUGGCAGCGUUGACCGGGACCCAGCUCCACAUGACCGAGCUGUGGGCCGAGGCCACGGGCAAGCGGUCUGUGGUCCUGUCUCUGUUGGGUGGGGACCUGUAAAGGGGUGCAUUCUCUCCAGGAGGGGUGCAUUCUCUCCAGGAGGGGUGCAUUCUCUCCAGGAGGGGUGCAUUCUCUCCAGGAGGGGUGCAUUCUCUCCAGGAGGGGUGCAUUCUCUCCAGGAGGAGGGCCAUUCUCUCCAGGAGGAGGGCCUAACUAUCUCCAGGAGGAGGGCCUAACUAUCUCCAGGAGGAGGGCCUAACUAUCUCCAGGAGGAGGGCCUAACUAUCUCCUGGAGGAGGGCCUAACUAUCUCCUGGAGGAGGGCCUGACUAUCUCCUGGAGGAGGGCCUGACUAUCUCCUGGAGGAGGGCCUGACUAUCUCCUGGAGGAGGGCCUGACUAUCUCCAAGGAGAAGCUGAGCGAUACUCAGCUGACCUACCCCAGGACUCCGGUAAAGUGACACCAGCCUCAUCGCCUGCCGAGAAACUGUCUUCUCGUCCAAGACCAUCGACGAGGUCAUCAACAGCCUCCCCAGUGGCGCCAACAACUUCAGCCUCCGUCUGCCCUGCGUGCAGACCGUCAUGGCGGCCCGGGAUGAGCUCCACGCUGCCCUGCAGUCCCCGAGUAACGUCUUCAACCCCCAGGGACAUAAGGAGGAGAAGACAGGGUAUUUUGGUUCAGAGAAAAGCUUAGUAGAAAUGAGUCUGGUGGAGGAGGGGCCCAUGGUGGCUUCAGCCAUGGGAAUGAACAGAGGAGCCCCUAAGAUAGUUUAUUCUCUCUCUUCAGGGGUGUCUUCGUCUAACGAUGAUGAUGUUUGAUGCACAGGCGCGAUGAGCUGAUCCGGGUCGUGUUUCUGUAGGCAUGUAACUGCAGAAAAAAACUGGUAAAUGGGGAGGUAGUGAGAUCUGAACUUGUCCAAUAAGGAACACUUGUUUUUUUGGUUUCUGUUGCAAAACAUUUUUGCUAAGGUGUGCCCUAAUGAACAUGACCCAGAUGAUCAAUGUAAAAAAAGAUACUGGUUCAAUGCCAUUGAUAGAAAGAACCUACAGUGAGAAUGUUUACGUCAACAGUCUAUCCUAUUGCACUAAAACCCAAGGUUCCCUGUUGAAUGCUUUAUUUUGGCCAUUAAAGAUUUAAUUAGAUUGUAAAGUA